rnacentral:rRNA from 1 species
UUGAGACGAGUGGCGAACUGGUGAGUAACACGUGGGUAACCUGCCCUUGAAGUAGGGGAUAACACUUGGAAACAGGUGCUAAUACCGUAUAACAACCAAAACCACCUGGUUUUGGUUUAAAAGACGGCUUCGGCUGUCACUUUAGGAUGGACCCGCGGCGUAUUAGCUUGUUGGUAAGGUAACGGCUUACCAAGGCGAUGAUACGUAGCCGACCUGAGAGGGUAAUCGGCCACAUUGGGACUGAGACACGGCCCAAACUCCUACGGGAGGCAGCAGUAGGGAAUCUUCCACAAUGGACGAAAGUCUGAUGGAGCAACGCCGCGUGAGUGAUGAAGGGUUUCGGCUCGUAAAACUCUGUUGUUGGAGAAGAACAGGUGUCAGAGUAACUGUUGACAUCUUGACGGUAUCCAACCAGAAAGCCACGGCUAACUACGUGCCAGCAGCCGCGGUAAUACGUAGGUGGCAAGCGUUGUCCGGAUUUAUUGGGCGUAAAGCGAGCGCAGGCGGUUUUUUAGGUCUGAUGUGAAAGCCUUCGGCUUAACCGGAGAAGUGCAUCGGAAACCGGGAGACUUGAGUGCAGAAGAGGACAGUGGAACUCCAUGUGUAGCGGUGAAAUGCGUAGAUAUAUGGAAGAACACCAGUGGCGAAGGCGGCUGUCUGGUCUGUAACUGACGCUGAGGCUCGAAAGCAU